rnacentral:rRNA from 1 species
CCUACGGGUGGCAGCAGUGAGGAAUAUUGGUCAAUGGACGAGAGUCUGAACCAGCCAAGUAGCGUGAAGGAUGACUGCCCUAUGGGUUGUAAACUUCUUUUAUAAAGGAAUAAAACGAGGCACGUGUGCCUUUUUGCAUGUACUUUAUGAAUAAGGAUCGGCUAACUCCGUGCCAGCAGCCGCGGUAAUACGGAGGUUCCGAGCGUUAUCCGGAUUUAUUGGGUUUAAAGGGAGCGUAGAUGGGUUGUUAAGUCAGUUGUGAAAGUUUGCGGCUCAACCGUGAAAUUGCAAUUGAUACUGGCAGUCGUGAGUACAGUUGAGGUAAGCGGAAUUCGUGGUGUAGCGGUGAAAUGCUUAGAUAUCACGAAGAACCCCGAUUGCGAAGGCAGCUUACUAAACUGUUACUGACAUUGAUGCUCGAAGGUGUGGGUAUCAAACAGGAUUAGAUACCCUUGUAGUC